UACGUAGGGGGCAAGCGUUGUCCGGAUUUAUUGGGCGUAAAGAGCGUGUAGGCGGCUAUACAGGUCCGCUGUGAAAACUCGAGGCUCAACCUCGAGACGUCGGUGGAAACCGUAUGGCUAGAGUCCGGAAGAGGAGAGUGGAAUUCCUGGUGUAGCGGUGAAGUGCGCAGAUAUCAGGAAGAACACCCGUGGCGAAGGCGGCUCUCUGGGACGGUACUGACGCUGAGACGCGAAAGCGUGGGGAGCGAACAGG
rnacentral:rRNA from 1 species